CACGUAGGGCGCAAGCGUUGUCCGGAAUUAUUGGGCGUAAAGAGCUCGUAGGCGGUCUGUUGCGUCCGCUGUGAAAACUCGGGGCUUAACCCCGAGCCUGCAGUGGAUACGGGCAGACUAGAGGUAGGUAGGGGAGAAUGGAAUUCCCGGUGUAGCGGUGGAAUGCGCAGAUAUCAGGAGGAACACCGAUGGCGAAGGCAGAUCUCUGGGCCGUAACUGACGCUGAGGAGCGAAAGCAUGGGGAGCGAACAGG
rnacentral:rRNA from 1 species